AUUGAACGCUGGCGGCAUGCUUUACACAUGCAAGUCGAACGGCAGCACGAGUGCUUGCACUUGGUGGCGAGUGGCGAACGGGUGAGUAAUACAUCGGAACGUGUCCUAAAGUGGGGGAUAACGCAUCGAAAGAUGUGCUAAUACCGCAUAAUCUCUAAGGAGAAAAGUAGGGGAUCGAAAGACCUUAUGCUUUUGGAGCGGCCGAUGUCUGAUUAGCUAGUUGGUGGGGUAAUGGCCUACCAAGGCGACGAUCAGUAGCUGGUCUGAGAGGAUGGCCAGCCACACUGGGACUGAGACACGGCCCAGACUCCUACGGGAGGCAGCAGUGGGGAAUUUUGGACAAUGGGCGCAAGCCUGAUCCAGCAAUGCCGCGUGAGUGAAGAAGGC
rnacentral:rRNA from 1 species